rnacentral:rRNA from 1 species
AUUGAACGCUGGCGGCAUGCCUUACACAUGCAAGUCGAACGGCAGCACGGGUGCUUGCACCUGGUGGCGAGUGGCGAACGGGUGAGUAAUACAUCGGAACGUACCUUAUCGUGGGGGAUAACGCAGCGAAAGCUGUGCUAAUACCGCAUACGCCCUGAGGGGGAAAGCGGGGGAUCGCAAGACCUCGCGCGAUUAGAGCGGCCGAUGCCUGAUUAGCUUGUUGGUGGGGUAAAAGCCCACCAAGGCGACGAUCAGUAGCUGGUCUGAGAGGACGAACAGCAACAAUGGGAGUGAGAAACGGCCCAGACUCCUACAGGAGGCAGCAGUGGGGAAUUUUGGACAAUGGGGGAAACCCUAAUCCAGCAAUGCCGCGUGAGUGAAGAAGGCCUUCGGGUUGUAAAGCUCUUUUGUCAGGGAAGAAACACCGGCUCUAACACAGUCUGGGAAUGACGGUACCUGAAGAAUAAGCACCGGCUAACUACGUGCCAGCAGCCGCCGUAA